rnacentral:lncRNA from 1 species
GUGAUUAUUUUUUAGCUGAUGUACCGUUAAACUGAAGGUGGUAAUAAAGUUUACAAAAUUUGCUCUGGCUGAAAUUUUCAAUGAAAAAACAAUGUGUGCCAUGAAUGUAAUCUGUUUUUCAUGGCGGAUCAAUGAAAGUUUGGUGUAUUGGCCAAAUCACUUGCAAGCAUCUUGCCUUAAGGCUGCCAUACGUAAAGUCACGCUUUUAAAAGUAACUGAAAGCAGCUGAAAAAAAAAUUUCUUGAUUACUAUGGAGGAGAUGAAUAUCUUGUUGUUGUUGUGGUUGCUCCGCAAGAAAGUUUGUUUGUAUUUCACACGCUAAAGUAUGGAUGUUUUUUAUGCAUUUAACCUAGAGUAUUCUUCUAGUUCAAAAUCAUUUUGCUUAAUGUUGGUGCUUUACAUUGAAAAAAAUUCCUCUUUUAUCGAUAAAGCUUCCUGAUAUGAAUCGGUGAAUGUUGAAAGGACGGAAGUCACAUAUUUUGCAAAAUCAACUUUUUAGCAAAUUUGUAUAUUCAAAAGAUAGCUCCAUCAUUUUGUGUUAAAAAGGUGUCUGUCAAAAAUUUUCUCAAGCCUGUACAGUGUCUAAAAGUUUUGUUUUUUUGUUAAAAGGGCUGAAGUGCCUUUUAGAAACUUUGCGCUGAAGACAGCGGACCAAACGUAACCUUACUUUGUUGUUUUGAUUGUGCAACAGCGUGGUGAAUAAAGUCGAUUUAUUACAUUUAAUGAUUUUAAUAGUGAAUUAAGUUGAUUAACUGCUUUUUUAAAUGGGUGAUAGUGGUAGUGAGUCUGAUCAUACAAAUUAUAAAAAAAAUAUAAGAAAUCCAGAUGAUUAUAAAAGGAACAAGAUUAAGAAAUCUAGGCUUACUGGUGUGGCAUAUGAAAAUCAUAAAAAAUUGAUGAAAAGUUGAGGACAAAAAGUUGAUGCAAAGUCUAUCGGAGAUCCAUGCAGUUGUUCAAGAAAGUGUUUUGAAUCUAUUGGCAAAGACAACCUCCAUGAUGUAUUUAUAAACUUCUACAGCCAUUUUAAUACAAAAGAUGAGUAUGAUUUAUUUUUACACGGUUCGAUUGAUGUUACAGAUAUUGUGAGGAAAAGGCCUGGUUCAAGAGAUAGCAAGGGAAAAAGUCGUGAUGCUAAUGAAAAUACUGUACGAAAAAGAAAAAGUAACGGCGGAAACAAGAAGGAAUUUAAAUAUCAUGUUUUGAUCGGAGAUAAACGAGUACAGGUAAGUGUUGUGGCAUUUUAAUCAAUAUUUUAUGUGUCAGAAAAGAGGGUUCGAAGAAUAAGGAGUUUAAAAAUGAAUGAAAAAUAAGUUAAAGAUUUGAGAGGAGUACAUACGAGUUACAUUACCAGUCACGAUAUACUAACUAAGGUAUACGCUCACAUAGACUCCUUUCCAAAAAAACUGAUCCACUAUGGCGGAAAAGAAAGGUAUUUUUUGAGUGAAGAUUUGAGCGUGAAAUUAAUGUAUGAACUAUUCAUGAAAAAAAAUUGAAGGAGUAAGGUUCAGUUACAAGUUCUAUUAUAACUACUACAAUAAGCACUUUCAUUUACGUUUCGGACAGCAUCAAGUAGACACCUGUUACAUAUGCGAAAAGUUAAAGCUAAAGAUAAAAUCACCUCACCUUAAUGAAGUUGCUAAGCAAACAGCAAUAACUGAAUUGGCAGUACAUAACAGACGCGCAAAAAAAUUUUACCAAGCCAUAAAUAAAGAUGUACAGGACGCAUAAAACAAGAUGUACAGGACGCAUUUUUUGCAAAACAUUUCACUGCCCAAAAUACCUGUGCAAGAGUUAUUUUAUCUAAGGCAGUUAACAGUUAGUGUAUUUUCUAUUCAUGAUGCAAAGAGAAAUGUUGCAACUCUCUACCUUUAUCACGAGGGGCAGGCUAGAAAGUCUCCAAAUGAAACUUGCUCCUUUUUUUUGCACUACCUGUCUACCUGUCCUCAAGAGUAUGAUGAACUCAACUUUUAUGCCGAUAAUAGUGGGGGGCAAAAUAAAAACCAUUGCUUUUCAAAAUUUUUUAUGGUGCUUACUGACAAUAAGUCAAUGAAAAAGAUCAAUGAAUUUUUCCUAAUCAGAGGGCACAGCUUUUUGCCCUGUGACCGUGACUUUUCGAUUAUAAAAAGAAAGUUAAGAAAGCAUGACAGAGUUUACAGCGUCCAAGAAAUAAAAAAAAUUAUAUUAAAAAAUAGUAAUCAAAAAAAGUUUUUAGUGGUUGAUGUAGAGAGUUCAUCUCUAGUUUACGAUGUUAAAAGUUGGUGGCCAGUCCAUUUUAAAAGAAACGUUAACUCAAUUAAAACAAUGGGUAAACCCAGAAGCCAACAAACUCAGUUUACAAAAAGCAAAUUUCACCAUUUUCAAUACGAUUGUGACAACAUAUGUCAAUGUAAGGCCAGUAAAAUUAUCAAUGGCAUAGUCAAACAUACUUUUAUGAUUAGAAUAUGAGAAAUACUCAAAACAAAGUGAACCUGCCAGAACAGCUUAUUGACUUUUAUAAUGAACUAAUACAAUGGCCUACAGCAGAAAGCAACGAUGGAGAAGCAGAAGAUGCUGGGGAAAAUGAUUGAGCACAGCUGAUAAAAUUUCUGUGAUAGACUUUUUUCCUUAUAAUUUUUGUUAAUAUUGUAUAAACAAUUCAUCAAUGUAUAAUAUGAGAAGAUUUAUUGCA